GGGGCGUUUGUUUGCCCUCACUAAGUGGGACUGGACUAGACUGGAUUAGAUGUUAGUGUAAUCCCAUGUUUGUUAGAGGAAGGGACUAGCUUUAGUGGGAUUAAACCUCACUCGCCUUGACUACGGGGCUCGCUAGAUAGUCUUAGCGAAACCCCCCAAAUACCACCGGAUUGCUAAGACCAUUCUUUUCUCUCGCGUUGCUCCACUCGAUUCCUCGCUCUGCUCGACUCCUUAUCCUGCUUGACAACCUUGCCGGACCAUCUCAGGACCACCGCCGCGUCUUCGUAAAUCACGGCUUCUUCUGCCACUUUCUCUUCUUAGUUUUCUUCAGUUUUGUUUUGAAGAUUCGUUAAAUUAUUACUGGGUUUUGAUAGAUUUUUGUUUUUGAUCGAUUUGUGGGUUUGAUUGAUUUCUCAGAUUUGAUUGGUUUCUGGGUUUUGAUUGCUACCCAUUUGUUUUCAAUUUAUCUGCUAUUUUUCCUUUUAUGAAUUGAUUGAUAAGUUUUUGAAAGUUGAAGUGAUUUUUUUCCUCAUUCCCUGUUUUCGUUUUGCUAGAAAUUUGAUGUUAUCAUAUUUUGGUUUAAUCUUUAUCCAAAACUCCCCGAUUUUCUUACAGUUCCACUACGAGAUCUUGAGAAAGCCAUGCCCAUUGCAGCAAGUGUGCAGGGUCUGGGUGUUCAUCUCAGAACUGCAAAAGCCACUAAAUCUGCAGCUCUCUCUCAACUGGCAGACAAGGAAACAAAUAUGAGGACCACAAAAAGUCGCCAUGAGAUUUCCAGGAGAUAUUACUGCACUCUUUUAGGAUGCGAGAAAAGGGCUGGCAGACUAUCAAAAAAGCUGGAGUUUAUGCCUUUUUGGAACAACUUGCUCAGUUCUAUGAAAUCAUUGUUUAUUCAGACUACUCAUAUAUGCAUGUAGAUCCUGUAAUGCCUGUAAUGGAGAGAUUGGACACUAAGCAUUGUGUAACAUAUAAGCUGGGAAAGGCUGCCACUAUGUAUCAGAUUGCAGAAGAGACCUAUACCACCCAGACUGCUGCAUUGGAAACUGCUAUGUCUACACCUGUCUUUGUUCAAGGAUCUCUGAAUUCUGUGUGCAAUCGGUAUCAACUGCUCAUAUGGGUGGUAGUGUAUACUGCUAAUGAGGAUUUGGAGUCCAUAACCGACACACAAACUGAAUUACAGCUGAUGGAGUUAGAUGCUCACAAUUUUGUCAAAUUCAAAGUGCAGAACAGUCACUACCCCAAUAGACCAUUGCAGAAAGAAAGCAAGUUCUUUUUUUAACCUUGAGGACAAGGUUGUUCUUUAAGGGGGGAAUAAUGAUAUGAUCUGUAAUUAGUGAUUAGUGAUUAGCUUAAUCACUAUUAAGGGUUUUAAUCUUGGGAUUAUUAGGCUUAUUCUUGUUUUAGUGAAGUUUGUUAUAAUUAGCCAGCUGGCAUGAUGAGUUGACUUGAAUAAGAGCACUAGCUCUCACUAUUGUAAUCAGAUCAGAAUUUACAAACACAAAAAUAUAUUGGAGCUCUGCUCCCUUCUACUUCAUCU